CCUACGGGAGGCAGCAGUGAGGAAUAUUGGUCAAUGGACGAGAGGCUGAACCAGCCAAGUAGCGUGAAGGAUGACUGCCCUAUGGGUUGUAAACUUCUUUUAUAUGGGAAUAAAAUGUUCCACGUGUGGGAUUUUGUAUGUACCAUAUGAAUAAGGAUCGGCUAACUCCGUGCCAGCAGCCGCGGUAAUACGGAGGAUCCGACCGUUAUCCGGAUUUAGUGGGUUUAAAGGGAGCGUAGGUGGAUUGUUAAGUCAGUUGUGAAAGUUUGCGGCUCAAGCGUAAAAUUGCAGUUGAAACUGGCAGUCUUGAGUACAGUAGAGGUGGGCGGAAUUCGUGGUGUAGCGGUGAAAUGCUUAGAUAUCACGAAGAACUCCGAUUGCGAAGGCAGCUCACUGGACUGCAACUGACACUGAGGCUCGAAAGUGUGGGUAUCAAACAGGAUUAGAUACCCCUGUAGUC
rnacentral:rRNA from 1 species